GAUGAAGAACGCAGCGAAAUGCGAUAAGUAAUGUGAAUUGCAGAAUUCAGUGAAUCAUCGAGUCUUUGAACGUACAUUGCGCCCCUUGGUAUUCCAUGGGGCAUGCCUGUUCGAGCGUCAUUUGUACCUUCAAGCUCUGCUUGGUGUUGGGUGUUUGUCUCGCCUCUGCGUGUAGACUCGCCUCAAAACAAUUGGCAGCCGGCGUAUUGAUUUCGGAGCGCAGUACAUCUCGCGCUUUGCACUCAUAACGACGACGUCCAAAAGUACAUUUUUACACUCUUGACCUCGGAUCAGGUAGGGAUACCCGCUGAACUUAAGCAUAUCAAUAAGCGGAGGA
rnacentral:misc_RNA from 1 species